GAAAUAUGAGGAGAUGAGGAGAGCCGCGUCUCGGCUGCGCGGAGUCGUGCUGCAUUCGAUCCAUCGGGAGUUUACCAGCAGCGGCGUGAGGAAUGCGAGAGACAAGGUCGGGCCGUCUGGAGAGAUCAGUAAGUUUGCAAGGAAGAAAUUCGAGAAGCUGCGGCAGCAGCCGGUGGAGAGGCCCUAUGUCGCUCCACAGCCGGCGGCGCCGCUCUCGCCUGUCAAGGUGGUGGAGAUUUUCGAGGGCAUGACGAUGCGGGAGCUUGCAUCUCGGCUCCAGCAGUCAGAGAGCGCUGUGCAAUCCAUCCUGAAUGAUCUUGGCGAGAGCUGUGAGUCCGGUGACGAGGCGCUGGCCUUCGAUGCAUCAGAGCUAGUUGCACUGGAAUUCGGAGCUCAAGUGAAAAGAGUUGACGCGGAAGUAAGGAAAGAUGAUCCUCAGAAGGAAGUGAUUCCACUGCGUCCUCCAGUGAUCACUGUUAUGGGGCACGUCGACCACGGGAAAACUUCGCUGCUCGAUGCACUGCGCAAGUCAUCUGUUGCUGCGGGUGAGGCCGGAGGAAUCACGCAGCACCUCGGUGCUUUUGUCGUGAAGAUGUCCUCGGGAGCAUCCCUUACCUUUCUGGACACGCCGGGCCACGCGGCUUUCAGUGCAAUGCGAGCUCGCGGGGCGGCAGUGACGGACAUCGUCGUUCUCGUCGUUGCUGCCGAUGAUGGUGUCAAGCCUCAAACGCUAGAAGCGCUGUCUCACGCACAGGAGGCCAAGGUUCCGAUAGUGGUGGCGAUCAACAAGUGUGACAAGGAAGACGCGGAUCCUGCCAGGGUGCGGCAGCAGCUUAUCAUGCACAGCGUCGAACUUGAAGAGAUUGGUGGCGACGUCCAGGUUGUCGAGGUCUCGGCUAAGCAGAGCACGGGACUUAACAAGCUGGAGGAAGCUCUACUGCUCAUGUCAGAGAUGAUGGACCUCCGAGCCCGGACCGACGGCGAUGCUCACGGGGUUGUCAUCGAGGCAAGGCUUGAUCGGGGCCAAGGGCCUUUGGCAACGGUGAUAGUGCGAUCGGGCACGUUGAAACAGGGAGCCAUUGUCGUUGUUGGUCACCAGUGGGGGCGUGUGAGAUGCUUGCGGGAUAUGACAGGAGCUAUUGUCAAGUCUGCUGGGCCUGCUACACCUGUUGAGGUAUCAGGACUCCGGGGAGCUCCGCUAGCUGGGGACUCGCUCAACGUUUUGCAAAGUGAGGACAGGGCUAAGAAGCUGGCCGAGAAGAGGCAGCUGAUUAUGGAGCAGGACAGAUUGCAAAAGCGUAGCUUAAAAGCUGCUGCUGCUACUCCUGCUACUCCGGCCGCCGAAGAUGAAGGGACCGACCAAGCUCCGAAGGCAGUCAACAUGCCGCUCGUUGUGAAAGCCGACGUGCAAGGGACCUUAGAAGCUGUUCUUGAAGCCCUCGAAAGCUUGAACAACGAACAGGUAUCUGUGAGUAUCGUGCAUUCCGGAAUUGGCCCCGUGUCGGAAGCAGAUUUUCUUCUAGCCGAAGCAUGUCAGGGCUGCUUAAUUGCUUUCACCGUCAAGUGCUUGCCAUCGGUAGAAGCAAUGGCUCGUCGUGCUAAAAUCCCGCUUGUUCAUCACCGUGUGAUUUACCAUUUGUUGGAAGAAGUGGGGAAGCUGAUAAUUGAGAGGGCUCCAGGAACUUCGGAGACCCGGAUUGCCGGGCAGGCCGAAGUUCUCGCCAUCUUUGAGAUUAAAGGCAAAGGCAGGGCAGGGGUUGGAGCAGCCAAGAUUGCAGGCUGCCGAGUCUUCGAGGGACGCCUGCUCAAGGGUCAGCGUGUCAAAGUCCUCCGGAGUGGCACGGAGCUGUUUGACGGGAAACUUUCGUCGCUCAAGAGGGAGAAGCUGGACGUGGACACGGUUGGGAAGGGGACGGAAUGCGGGCUUAUUGUCAACGAAUGGAUGGAAUUCAGUGUCGGGGACGUUGUGCAGUGCAUCGAAGAGUACAAGAGAUUGCCGACGUUUGUUUCUUCGGAUGGGAAAGCGAGGAUCGAAUGCUGAGGUUUUGCUAGAAUGACACCAGAGUGGUUUUGGUAACUCCAAACUUGACAGAAACUUUUCAGCGCUUCCAGUGUCCCCGACAUCUCUGACGCGCUAUGCCUCGUUCAACUUUUUGCUGGCUACCAAUGUCCUUGCAUGCCUCUACUCGGGAGCUCAGGUUGCCGUUUUAGCAGCGAACAGAAAGAAGCUCACAGAUUUUUACAAAACCUCCAGCUUAAUGCUCGAUCAAAUUUUCACUUGCUUGCUGCUUGCAAGCGCGUCGGCAGCUAGUGCCGCUUUCCAAGCGCUCGAACUGUGUAAGCAAGACCUGGCCACUUGCCUACGAGUAACAUCGUCGGUGGUAG